UCACAGAAGAGCAUUUGCCCACUGGCUUAGCCGGCCUCUUCGCAGUCAGGCCUCGUGAGCCCAUCCUUCUGGGGUCCCUGGGGCGAGAGGCAGCUCCCCCUCUGGUUCUCCAUGUAGUACUUCCUUCCCAGGCUGGCGGUGGCUGCUCCUCCCCAGCAAGAACAUUUGCUGGGAACAGUCACACAGUUACAACCCGGAUGAGAAGAACAGAUGCUAGACCCCACUCGUCCCUCCGGGACCGGCCAUCCUGGCCCAGAAUUCUCUGCUUGCCUGCAUCGCAGUACUUCGGCCCUCUCUCCUUCCUCUCCUUCGUUCUCUGAACUCCAUCGCACAGCCCUUUCUCCGCUGACCGGCUGCACCUGCGUGCCCUGGUCCCCGCUGGAGCCUUCCUUACUUCCGGGUGGCGUCUCAGCCCCGAUAGGACUGAUGCCGUUAGCUCGUGGAUGCCGGUACCCCUAAGAGGCGACUCUCUCGAAUCAGCCACCUGAGGUCUCCUUCCGCUCUCUGGUGGAGUCUUGGGUUUCCCCAAGGUCCUCAUCCCCUUAUUCAUUUCCACCUUCAGGUCAAGCCCCGGUGGGCUGCAUCACUUCUCGUGUGGCCCUCUGCGAGUUUCCCUUGGAAGUGCCUUUCUCUGUGGUCGGCUUGUCUGUGCCUGACCGCAAAGGCAUAACCUCCAAGCUGGGACCCUCUCACUAGAGGAUGGGCCACCUGCCAGCGAGGUGGCUCAGCAGGUAAAGGCACGUGCUGCCCAGACUGAUGGCCUGAAUUUGAACCCUGGAACCCACCCGGCAGAAGGUGGAAACCAACUCUGCAAACUGUCUGAUGAUCUGCCAUGCAUGUGCACACACAGGUACACACUCACAUAAUGAAAGAAGUUUCUAGGCUGUUUCCAGUUUGUCUAUUAUGAGUGAAACUGCUAUGAAGAAGCUGUUAUGAACACAGUUGAGCAAGAGCUCUACAUAGAUGACCUGAAGCUGAGUCAUGAUGUCCCGAGGCAAGAGCUACUUUAUAAAAACACAUUGCCCCGAAGCCGACUUGGUCCAGAAACACGGAAUAACAGUAAGCAAGGCCUAGAGUCUAGGUGUACCCGGUCAGCUGAGACAGACUAGUGCUCCCAGCUCCCAGAAGGUGAGUCCCUCGAAGCAGCCUUGUCUUCCCACAUCUGGAAGGUUACCAGAGCGUGACUUCAGGAAGUGACGUAGUCCCCAUUCCAGUCUGAGGCUUCAGGGCAGCUUUCCCUUUACUGUUCUCUGGAGCUGACCCCGUGGACCCCUGAGUGUGGGGGGGCCAGUGUGGAGCUGAGCACUUUGCCGUGGACUUACCUUCAGUGAACAGAGGCAUUCCAAUAAACAGACCUGGCUGCUCAAGAUGAGGGAAGAACAGAAUCUUCGUCCUUCUCAAGCUAAUGAGGUUGUAAGAUGGUUGGGAGGGCUUGCCACUCACAGAGUCCAAAAGCACCACACCUGCACCCCCAUUUCAUCCAGGCUCUGUCUUCUAAAUGCUGAGUUUAAAGGUAUGUGCCACCAUGCCCAGUAACCUUGGAUCCUUGACCUACCUUCCUUGCCCAGGGCUGGCAUGACAGAUGCGCACCACACACCCAGUUUUAUGUGGAACUGGAGAUGGAGCCCAGGGUUUCCCACUUGUUAGGAAAGGACUCUAUCAACUGGGCCACAUCCUCAGCCCUGGAGGAGGCCUUUCCACAACACAUUAAGGUCACCUAUGUAAAUGGGCACUAUGGACUGAGCAAAACUAUGCAAAUAGUUACUAAUGUCACGUCUCCUCUUUAUACCUUUCAAAACCUAGCAGAGAAAUCUGCCUGCCACAUCAGAGAGAAACACUUGGAGGGAAGCAGAGGCCUCCCAACUUUCCCAAGACACUUCAGUGCCACCGUCCAGAGGAGCAGGUGGAAAUGCAGCCAGGCUAGCAGGCUUUGGGUGGAUUCUGGGGUAGGACUAGUUCAAGUUGAACUGAACUGGUUCUGCUGUCAGUGUUAGCGACAGUCUCUAAGGCCAGGGUUCUGAUGCACCAUGCUGACGGCCAUCGUGGCACUGCUGAGACCAAGUGUGGACACAGCUCACUCAGCAGCAUGCUUUGGGGGCACACAGGCUGCUCCUGAAGCAGAGUCCAGUGACAGUUCCAGGCAGGACUCUGGCUCAUCCCGAGUUCUUAAGUGAACAUUUGUCUAGAAAGAUGUGGAACUGGCCUGGUUGUGGUGGUGCACACCUUUAAUCCUAGCACUUGGGAGGCAGAGGCAGGUGCAUCUCUGAGUUCAAGGCCAGCCUGGGCUACCGAGUGAGUUCUAGGACAGCCUGAACUACAUAGUGAGACUCUGUCUCAACACAAACAACAAAAUUAUUUUACAUGAAGACCGAAGCUCAACUCUCCAGCCCCGUGUAAGAAUGCUGAAUGUGGGGCUGAGAGACACGGUUCAGACAUUACAGGCUAGGCUAACAACCAAAGUGUCAAAAAAAGCUCAAUGUGGCUGUGUCCACAGCCUGGACUGCUAGCACUGGGGUGGGACCCUCUCACUGAACCUGGUGAGCUACAGGUCAGGAAGAGGUCUGUCACAGGGAGUAAGGUAGACAGCAACAGAGAACACCCAGUGUCUCUCCUGGCCUCCCUGCAUGCAUACAAACCAAGUGACGGAGGGAAGGAGGGGCCUGGAGCCUACAGGGCCCUUACAGACAAACACGGCCAUUUCAGCACUGUGGGCUGCAGAGCAUGUGCAGCUGGGACUCAGGGACAGUGUACUUUCCAGGAAGAACACACACAGCACGGAACACCGCUUGAGAUGGGCACCCCUGUUUCAUGUAUUUAUUAGUGAGAAUAGUUCAGCAUUAUUUCCUAAAUCAGUUAAAAAAGCUGGAUUAUCCAUUAGUAAGAAAAAACAAACCUUGAUUUUUAGUUCAAUGGUUCACCAUAAUAAAGGCACACUGUCACACCACCCGGCUCACUCUCUCUUUUUUAAACCAUUAUUUAUUUAUGUAUGAGUGCUGUGUCUGCAUGUUCAUCUGCAUGCCAGAAGAGGGCAUCGGAUUUCAUAAUAAACGGUUGUGAGCCACCACAUAGUUGCUGGGAAUUGAACUCAGGACCUCGGGAAGAGCAGCCAGUGCUCUCAACAGCUGAGCCAUCACUCCAGCUCCCCAAAUCUCAUUCCUUUAACUGGGCUCCGUCAGAGUUUUUUCAACCCAAACAGCUUCUCUGCAUCCAAGGACAGACCAGCCCAGUGGUGGUUUAAAUGAUAACGUCCCCACAGGCUUCUGUUUGAAAACGUGUUCCCCAGUUGGUGCAACUGCUUGGAAGUCUUAGAAGGUGUGGCCUUAUAAGAGGAGGUGUGUUAGUGGGUGGGUUUGAGAUUUCAAAAGACUCAUGCAUUCAGUUUCUCUCUCUCCCGGUACCUGUAGAUCAAGAGAGUUCUCAGCUAUUCCUGCCACUGUCUUUAUUCUGCCACGUGGACUCCUGACUCUGAAACUGCAAGCCCCCGGUAGUCCCUUCUUAUGGUUGCCUAGGUCAGGACAUCUUGUCACAGCAACAGAACAGUGACUAAUACUGUUGUACUAAUUCUGUUGAGCUUCUGAGAUCAGUGGAGAUCCAUCGUCUACAGCAUGAUGGCUGGAGACCAAAACAUCUUUCUUUCUAGGCUACAGCAUGAUGGCUGGAGACCAAAACAUCUUUCUUUCUAGGCUAUUUAUCAGGGCUGGAGAGAUGGCUCAGAGGUUAAGAGCACUGGCUGCUCUUGCAGAGGACCUGGUUCAGUUCCCAGACCCACAUGGUGGCUCACAGCCAUCUCUAACUCUAGUUCCAGGGGAUCUGAUGCUCUCGUCUAUCUUCCUUGGCCACCUAAAGCACAGAGUGCAUGUAUAUAUACAUAUGCAGGUAAACACCCCCCCCCCACACACACACACAUUAAAACAGUAAUAAAGAGACCUUUGAGUCAAAACCAAGAACAACGAAGGGGUGGGGCAAGAGGUGGCCCAGCAGUUAAAGAGCACUUACUGUUCUGUAGAGGGCUCAGGUUCAAUUCCCAGCACCCACAUCUGGCUUACAACUCCCUGUAACUCUAGUUCUAGGGAGUCCAAA